GAUGAAGAACGCAGCGAAAUGCGAUAAGUAAUGUGAAUUGCAGAAUUCAGUGAAUCAUCGAAUCUUUGAACGCACAUUGCGCCCCCUGGUAUUCCGGGGGGCAUGCCUGUUCGAGCGUCAUUUCACCACUCAAGCCUCGCUUGGUAUUGGGCAACGCGGUCCGCCGCGUGCCUCAAAUCGACCGGCUGGGUCUUCUAUCCCCUAAGCGUUGUGGAAACUAUUCGCUAAAGGGUGUUCGGGAGGCUACGCCGUAAAACAACCCCAUUUCUAAGGUUGACCUCGGAUCAGGUAGGGAUACCCGCUGAACUUAAGCAUAUCAAUAAGCGGAGGA
rnacentral:misc_RNA from 1 species